rnacentral:rRNA from 1 species
UACGUAGGGUGCGAGCGUUGUCCGGAAUUAUUGGGCGUAAAGGGCUCGUAGGCGGUUUGUCGCGUCGGGAGUGAAAUCCACUGGCUUAACUGGUGGCUUGCUUCCGAUACGGGCAGACUGGAGGUAUGCAGGGGAGAACGGAAUUCCUGGUGUAGCGGUGAAAUGCGCAGAUAUCAGGAGGAACACCGGUGGCGAAGGCGGUUCUCUGGGCAUGUCCUGACGCUGAGGAGCGAAAGUGUGGGGAGCGAACAGG